rnacentral:rRNA from 1 species
UACGUAGGGGCCGAGCGUUGUCCGGAGUUAUUGGGCGUAAAGCGCGCGCAGGCGGCUUCGCGCGUCCGACGUGAGAGCCCCCGGCUCAACCGGGGAGGGUCGUUGGGUACGGCGGAGCUUGAGGGCGGUAGAGGUUGGUGGAAUUCCCGGUGUAGUGGUGAAAUGCGUAGAGAUCGGGAGGAACACCUGUGGCGAAGGCGGCUUUCUGGGUCUCUUCUGACGCUGAGGUACGAAAGCUAGGGGAGCGAACGGG